AAGGAAAAAGAAUACUGAGAAAUACAAAAAGAGUUCUGGGGAACGUAGUUAAAAGGUAGAAAAUUUCUACUUAUACAAAGGCAACUGUUUGGGAAGUGAAGAGAUGACUGGCCUGCAUGCCUUCUUUUAAUGGAGGUUUUAAAAAGAGCCCUCUUCCCUUCAGAGGGAGGUACCUCAGAGAGCAAGGAUAUUGAGGAGGUGUGAGGUCAAGGGUCAAAGUGAUCUUGCAGGAUAAUGUGGUUCCUAAGACAUACUGGAGAAGACCCAAAGAGUUUAGUCUUGUCCUUGAACUCUCCCACAGGUUUGGCCCAGAACACCUUCCUCACUGGGGGCUGUGGAAAUCUACAAAACAAAUAAAUAAACAAAUUGCCCUCGGUUCUGAUUCCUUUCUAUAUUUUAAGACAAGAGAAGGCUUUAUAGUAUUUCAGAAAUAACUUUGUUCAUCAGCAUUCUGAUUAUUGAUCAUUAAACUGUAAAAAAGGAUAUAAAUUGAACAAAGGCAUUCUCCAUAAUCACAGAGAAUUUCUUGAGGAAAAAUUCUCCUUUUUAUAAGGAUUUUCUAUGAAAUAAGAGCUAGACACUCAAUGGAUAUAUAAUGGCAGGUAUGGAAACAGGAAGACUCAUUUUCUUGGAGUGAAAUCUGGUCUCAAACACUUAUUAGCAGUGUAAGAGAGAGGAAUAUGCAAAAUUAAACCCAUUUGCCUCACUUUCCUUACUGUAAAAUGAUCUGGGGAAGUAAAUGGUAAACCACUCCAGUAUCUUUGCGAAGGAAAUCCCAAAUAAGGUCACAAAGAAUCAGACAUGAGAGAAAUAACUGGACAACAACAACAAAAUCAAAAGGAAGGCUUCUCAGAUGUUCCUCUUUGCAGAUGGUGUUAUGGUGAUAGCAACAUAUCCUGUAACAAUAUGUGGCCAAUCAGUGCAGUUCAUGAGAACUCAAAAGGAAUUGAGAUUGUGGAUUCAAACAUCAACAGGAAAACAAUCUAUAUCCCCAAGAAACUCAAAUAUCACCUGAGUGAGUUGGUUGUUAAACCAAUAUUACUUAACAUACUUUAGAGAAAUCAUCUCCUGACAGGUUUCAGAAGAUAGCUCCUUCCAGGCCUGCUGACCUCCUUCCCUCUGUCAACCAGUCUCUCUUCAAAUUGAUGAUAUAAUCCACCAAUUUUCCAGAAUGUUCUGAAAUCUUCUGAACCAACUGUCACCAACAUCUCUCAGGAUUUUCUGAGGAAAAACCAAAACACCUACAAUUUCUGAGUGUCAAAACAUACAAAAAGACAUUUAUUUUGUCUCAGAUCCUCAGGGCUCUUAGAAAAUCUCUUAAAUAAUUUUCAUGGAAAUUCCAGCUACUUCUUAAGGUAACCUGUCCACAACCUUUCUCUCAACUGGAGAACUUAUACACAACCAUGUUAAUUAACCCAAUUUCCUAAUUAACUCUUAAUUAACUAACACAUAUUCCAUUACAAUCCUUUCCUAAAAACAACUG
rnacentral:lncRNA from 1 species